UAAUAAGUGUUUUAUGGCACUUUUUAAAUCCAUAUCCACCUUGUGUGCAAUGUCAGUCGAUCUUCUUCAUGGAGAUCGACCAAACAUCAACCUUUAUUUUUAACACUUUGUCUGAAAAAUAUUAUGAAUAAACAAUUCAAAAUA
rnacentral:misc_RNA from 1 species